AGAAAACAACAGUGAUUCCGUCAGUAGUGGCGAGCGAACGCGGAAGAGGCCAAACCGAUGGUGUGUGAUACCCGGCAGGGGUUGCAUCAUCGGGGUCGUGGGGCGUGUCGUCUUCGGGUCUGCCGGCCCGGGCGUGUGAGUGCACGGCGAUAGUCGAACCGGUGUGAGUGCCGGACCAGAGAGGGUGAGAGUCCCGUAGACGAAAUCGUUGGUGCCGCACGGUACGCGUACCCAAGUAGCACGGGGCUCGAGAAAUCCCGUGUGAAUCUGCCAGGACCACCUGGUAAGCCUAAAUACUACCUGAUGACCGAUAGCGGACCAGUACCGUGAGGGAAAGGUGAAAAGUACCCC
rnacentral:rRNA from 13 species